CCCUUAGAUGUUCUGGGCCGCACGCGCGCUACACUGAUGCAUUCAACGAGUCUAAAACCUGCUCUGAUAGGGGUGGGUAAUCUUUUGAAUGUGCAUCGUGAUUGGGAUAGAUGAUUGAAAUUUUUCAUCUUCAACGAGGAAUGCCUAGUAAACGCAAGUCAUCAGCUUGCAUUGAUUACGUCCCUGCCCUUUGUACACACCGCCCGUCGCUCCUACCGAUUGAAUGAUCCGAUGAAUAUCAUGGAUUGAGGAUGCAAGUAGGUUAGCCUAUCUUCAUCUUCGAGAAGUGAAGUAAAUCUUAUCAUUUAGAGGAAGGAGAAGUCGUAACA
rnacentral:rRNA from 1 species